rnacentral:tRNA from 1 species
GGAGUAGCUCAGUCGGUAGAGCGCCGGUCUCCAAAACCGGAUGUCGCAGGUUCGAAUCCUGCCUCCCUCGCCA